UAGCAGGUGUGAGCUGAGAUUGUCGGUGUU
rnacentral:piRNA from 1 species